rnacentral:lncRNA from 1 species
UGGAUACGCAUCAUCGGAAACAGUAUGUACAAUCUUUACUGAUAGAGUUUACUACAGAGAGAGAGAGAGGCCCUAAAUAAUUCCACGAGACGACGGGUCAUGAGUAUGAGACUGCCUUUUGAAAAAUUCGGUGGCCAGGCGCAAGAAUUGCCAAUGGAUCAUAUCUGGAUUUCCUCCUCACAAAUUCUCCCCACUUGUCCCCGAAAUGGGAUCUCCACUCUUCUCUUGUCGUGUAAUGUGGCAGAUACUGCUUCAACCCUAUCCCUGCUUCUUCACUGAAUUCCAGUAUUCUUCUGUUCCGCCUCAAGAUCUCUUCUACUCCAUCCUUUCCUGCCGACCCUGGAGAUGCCGAUGUUAGGAUCGCCACCAGGAGGUUCAGCCAUGGAUGUGGCACCUCCCACUGCCCUUUCGAUCGGAGUUUUACCUCAGACACAUGUACCCUGUCCAAGAAUGCUUCAUAUGCUACCUCCGUUGUAAACAGUGUCGACGUCACGUAGCUUAGCUCUGAUAAUGUUUCUUUCACUUCCUGGAUUGGACAAAUAUAUAUAUAUUUUCAGUUCCAAUGAAUGUCAUCUACCAAAGAAGAUUCUACCGAUUGCUUCUACUCUGUUUUCUCACCUGGUUGAUUACGUCUUUGUUAUCUUGCUUCAAAUACUUGGCUAGCUCCAGACAAUACAGAGUCCUUCCAUCAAACUUGAAUUGGCUUGCUUCUAAAGGCUCUUCUGCGGUGAAAGACAACCUCCAGCUGUUCAGGAGGCCUGUCCUGUUUAUUAUCACAAACCCUUCUAUGUAAUCGAAUUUGUGGCCCUGGGCAGAUAUUAGUUGCUCUUGGUCCUUGGCAAAAGCUGCAAAAUCCAGGCUUUUGACUCAGAUGAAGCGCAAAAAGGAUUGGUUCCUGUAUCAUCCGUGAGAGUAAAAGAAUGGUGGAACGUGCAAGGGAAAAAAUCCUUGUGCUCUCUGUGGGAAAAUAGGAGGCAAUUUCACUAGUGUUGGGACCCAACAACACAAUCCUUGUAAACUAAAAGAGGCUGUGGCAGCUCAAAGCAAAGCAACCAAUGAGUGGAUAACAGAGAGGGACUCACUGCUUCUUCAGAUAGAAUCAUCUGGAGUGGUCCAUUUAUUUUUAUUACUACUUACUAUCUCUUUGGCACGAGUUACUUUCAGUUUCUUCAAGAUUAGGAUCAUUCUUCAAUGGAGCCAGCAAUAGUAAUCAGAAAGGUAUAAAAAUGUUAUGGAGAAGGAUUAAAAAAGAAAAGAGAGAGAGAGAGAGAGAGACUGGUGACAAAAGGUGGCCCAGUGGAGAUUGUGCACCCAUUAGAAAUCUCGAGUGUAGGAGUAGGGUCAAAGAGAGAUGAUGGUUUGACCAGUCCAGUUUUGAACAGAGAGUGAAGAAAGAAGUUGGGCUCUUCUCAACUCCAUUGGUGCGGUGGUGGGCAUUGCAGAAUGAGGUGUGUGAACUGAAAACAGAGUUGGUGGAAAUGGUUGGUCUCUAGAAGCAGAGGAGAAGCGACCAGAGAGCACUAGCGGGAGAGUCGUGGGGCAUAGCUUGUCCCAAGCAAAAUCUUGGUCCCAAUAUAAAAUAUGCCUUUGAACAUUUGUCAGCCAAAGUGUCGAAGGGACGGCUAUGGUGGUGUUGGAAGUGGAUUGGUCCACGACUGUGACCUCUCUGCUGACUUGUCACCUUAUACUAUAAUUGGUGCGUUCUUCCCACCUUCACGUGGCUUUGUUCCCCCAUUAAC